AUUGAACGCUGGCGGCAGGCUUAACACAUGCAAGUCGAGCGGGCGAGGUUGCUUCGGUAACUGAGCUAGCGGCGGACGGGUGAGUAAUGCUUAGGAAUCUGCCUAUUAGUGGGGGACAACAUUCCGAAAGGAAUGCUAAUACCGCAUACGCCCUACGGGGGAAAGCAGGGGAUCUUCGGACCUUGCGCUAAUAGAUGAGCCUAAGUCAGAUUAGCUAGUUGGUGGGGUAAAGGCCUACCAAGGCGACGAUCUGUAGCGGGUCUGAGAGGAUGAUCCGCCACACUGGGACUGAGACACGGCCCAGACUCCUACGGGAGGCAGCAGUGGGGAAUAUUGGACAAUGGGCGAAAGCCUGAUCCAGCCAUGCCGCGUGUGUGAAGAAGGCCUUUUGGUUGUAAAGCACUUUAAGCGAGGAGGAGGCUACCGAGAAUAAUAACCCUUGGAU
rnacentral:rRNA from 1 species